CACCGGCGGCUCGAGUGGUGGCCACUUUUAUUGGGUCUAAAGCGUCCGGAGCCGGCUUGGCAAGUCCCCUGGGAAAUCCGGCGGCUUAACCGUCAGGCGUCCAGAGGAUACUGCCAGGCUUGGGACCGGGAGAGGUGAGAGGUACCUCAGGGGUAGGGGUGAAAUCUUGUGAUCCCUGAGAGACCACCAGUGGCGAAGGCGUCUCACUAGAACGGGUCCGACGGUCAGGGACGAAAGCUGGGGGCACGAACCGG
rnacentral:rRNA from 1 species